rnacentral:rRNA from 1 species
AGUGAACGCUGGCGGUAGGCCUAACACAUGCAAGUCGAACGGCAGCACAGUAAGAGCUUGCUCUUACGGGUGGCGAGUGGCGGACGGGUGAGGAAUACAUCGGAAUCUACUUUUUCGUGGGGGAUAACGUAGGGAAACUUACGCUAAUACCGCAUACGACCUACGGGUGAAAGCAGGGGAUCUUCGGACCUUGCGCGAUUGAAUGAGCCGAUGUCGGAUUAGCUAGUUGGCGGGGUAAAGGCCCACCAAGGCGACGAUCCGUAGCUGGUCUGAGAGGAUGAUCGCCCACAUUGGAGCUUAGACACGGUCCAGACUCCUACGGGAGGCAGCAGUGGGGAAUAUUGGACAAUGGGCGGAAGCCUGAUCCAGCCAUAGCGCGUGGGUGAAGAAGGCCUUCGGGUUGUAAAGACCUUUUGUUGGGAAAGAAAAGCAGCAGGUUAAUACCCCGCUGUUCUGACGGUACCCAAAGAAUAAGCACCGGCUAACUUCGUG